GAAACCACUUCGUGUUACAUCGGUAAAAUUGGAACGAUACAGAGAAGAUUAGCAUGGCCCCUGCGCAACGACAUAAAUCGAGAAGUAUCGCACUUUUUG
rnacentral:snRNA from 1 species